UCUGGAUUUUUUAAUCUUUUUGGUUUGCAUAGAGUUUGCGGUUUAUUCAUUCGCACUAAAUCAAUUGAAUUAAUUUUAAAUUUUCAAGAAUAUUAAGUGUAUACAAAAUGGCAAGUGAAGAACAUUAAUUUCAAUUUUGAUUUGAAUUAUACUUUUAAUAUAAACCAAUUAAAAUUUAGAGAUGGAUUCUGAUUUUUGGGACAUUUUGAGGUGUUUGAGAGAAUCAUUAACAGAGGAAAAAGAACAGAAAAAAAGGGAGCAGUGGGGGAAAAUCGGGGAAAUUCUUUUGGGUUUUGGAGAGAGCAAAGCCAAGAAAGGAGAUUUCUGGGGCAAAAUCGAGAAAACCAGCGAGAAGCCUGAGAGGAGAGACCAUGGGAGAGGAAUAGGGAUUCUAGGGUUUUCGAGACCAAAUGGGGAAUCGAUUUAACGCUGAGAGAGAUCGGACCGACGGAGAGGGAGAAAUUAAAGGAGAGUCCAGACGGACAGAGUACACGGCUAAGAGUUUGUCCCUGAAGGAUGGUAUGGUAUACUCUAAUUAGCUCCUCUUCUGUACCAGUCUCUGGUGCGAAGAGGCCGUAAAGAACUUGAGCAUUGAAUGAGGAAUGAAGAGAGUUUUUAAGCUUAUAUUAAUUCUUAGUUUGUUCUUUCCUUUGUCCGUUUCUUCACUACACCUAUGGUUUAGGUUAAAUAUUUUUUACAACUGAUGAUCCUACCACAUGGAUGCAUAUUUAGCUUUAAUAACAAUGGCUUAAAUACUGUUCAUACUGUUAUCGGACGUUGUUGAUGAGCCAGUGACUGCUUUCUUCUCUUGUUAUCUUAUAUAUAUCUUCUUUGUUUACUUGCAUUUAUGAGAUUUCAAAGAUCCCCUGAAAUGCCCUGUAAAUACCCUGCUUUUCAUACACUCUUGUUAUUAUUAUUUUUUCAGUUUUAAUAUCAGGAGAUCCCAUCGUAACUCCCAUGACGUAUUCAGCCAGUUAACUCUAUAUAGUUUGCAUUUGCUGAAACAGGUUUUUGCCUUCAUGGUCAACUGUGGAAGGUUGUUGUUUUGUUCACUUCGCAGUUUUAAUUGGCUGGCAGUGAAUGCCUACGUCAUAACUUUUGAAAACCCUUUCAUUAAAUAGAUCAUUUGGUCUGAUUUUUGAAACACUGGUUCUGCUCAUGAAGUAUAGCUGACUGGGAUUGUCUAUGAACUUGAUAGAUUAGAAGACCUACCCGGAAAUGGUGUCUUUUGAGUUUAUUGAUCUGUACCUGGGGUUGUGGGGACACAAAUAUGCAUUGUCUUUUUUCUCUUCAUGCUUUAGUUAUGUGUUAUUGGCAUUGAGGGCACUUAGUAGCUUAAAAUAUAAUCUCAGUUUAACCAUAGAGGCAGAUGAGGUGUAUCAAAACUGGCUUUAGAUAAUUGCUUUGAGAAGAUGCCGCUGCAAUAUUUUCUUGCCUUGUGAGUGACUUGUAGGCCGUAAAGAGAGAUUUAGAGAAGUCAUUCUUUACCCUUAAGGUAUCUGCAAUUUUACUAUGUUCUGAAUUGUUUAGGUUUAUGAUUGAAUGAUGGUGCAUGGAAGAGGAUUUGUUAGAUGAAGAAGAUUUCUUGUUUUUAUGUAUUCAACUGGAUUAGUUCAUUUUUGGUCAGACACGCACCAUCCAUCAUAAAGAGGGCUUGCAGCAUACUUAAGGUGGAAUCAUAUGGGGACGUGGUUAACAUGUGUGCCUUAACGGGGUAUGGAUUGAGGAGAUAUUUAGUUGCUUUUUUUAAUGGGUAUAUUUGUGGAUAUGUUGGUUGGCACUAGUGUGCUAUGUAAGUGGGAAUAAAUGGACAACAUAAUGGAUAAGUCUUUCUUGGUUGGAAGCAUAUACUCUGAGUCUGAUAUGAAUUCUUUCAUGUUUAAUCCUCUUGAUGAGUGGCACCAAGGGAGGUUUUGAAGACAUCCCUCAUUUUUUUUCUUUUAUUUUAUUAAUGCGAUCUUCUUUCUCCAGUAUAUUUUUAAAUAUUUUAAUUUAGCAUUUCAGUAGAAUUUAUUCAAGCAUGAGUAUUAAUGUAAAACACACUUGCACCAUAGUUAAGAACACAAAUAAUACAUGCAAUUUGAGUAUUACCUUAGUUAAUUAUUGUUACAUAUUACAUUUCUAACGUCUUCCUAUCUUGUACUGUUUUAGUUUUAAGUUCCUGUGUUCAUGACUGGUGCAAUUUUGAUACUUGAUCUCAUCCUUAUAGAUCAGUUGGCAACUUUUUUUUGCUUGAAAAUUUAUUUUUUGAGAGCUCUGCCAUUACUGUUUUGGCAAAGCUGAUUUAGAUCUUCUGAAUUGCCACCAGCAAGACUCCAACCCUUUGGGUCGUGCAGGUGCUGAUUGAGGCAUAUCCAUCAAGAGUCGAUUCUACAAAUUGGCAAACAAGACCGAGUAAGCGUCAAAUGGUAGAGAGGUGGUCAAGACGAGUGCUAGAGAGAGAGCAAGAUUGGAGAACACACAUGCUGUAAACCCUGCGACAAUCAGCAAAGCAGGAGAAAUAGAUCGCGAUGCCAAUUGUCUUGAAUCAGAUGGGCCAAGAUGGGUCGCCGGCAGUGACGCUUUCCAGCGAGAAAGCCAAUGGUGGAGGAUUGGGACGAUCGUGUUGGCUCGGGGUACUUGAUGGCGAGCUUCAAGUUGAAAAUUUUGGUCUCUGGGACACAGAUUAGGAAGCUAGGUGUUGUCGUUAUCUUAAGUGGCUCCAAGUAAAUACCGCAUGUAAUUUAUAUGGAGUCUAUGUAAAUUAAUGAAUGACAUUUAUGUAAAUUAAAAUAAAUGAUAUUAUUAUCAUGCCUGUUGAUAUUUAACUAAGUUAAUUUUCGGUAA